GGGUUUCCCUGCUAUGUUUUGUCACACAUCAUUGCUGGGAGAGUUCAGUGCUAUCCAAGUGACUCCCCCGGGAGAGGACAACUGGAAAUUUAUGCCUGGUGUCUUCCUGGACUCCGACCUAUGCACCUUUUUCCUUGGAUGAUUUUAACCUGUCUCCUUUUGCUGCAAUGAACCAUAACCAUGAGUAUAUCAGCUUUUCUAAUUUUUGUGAGUCCCUCAAGUGAAUUAUCAAACCUAAGGUAGUUUUGGGACCCCCAUCACAGAGAGUCAAACAGGGGCAGGGCAAGAAGAGCUGCUUUUCCUGGAAGGCUAAUGAGUCUGAACUUCGCCCUGGAGGUAAUCGUUAUAGUAACUCCAGGCUCUAACCUGGAGCUGACAUGAUAAGGUCAAAUGUACACCUCUAGAAGACUUCCGACUGCAGAGGGGAAUGGAUGGGGGAGCUGAGGGAGGAGAGCUGAAGCAGGAAGACCAUGGCCUGGAAAGAGAUGGCUGAACCAGUCCAGGUGGCGAGGAGUCCAUGUCAGCUGCCGUCAUCCACACCACAGAUCAGACAUGGCAAAGAGUGGCCAGGCCUUCUGAGUGAAGGUGAUCCAACCUGUCACCAAGCCUAAGGGCAAAUCCUGGCUGUGCUGUGAUGGCUCCAACAACCCCAAACAGCAGCGCAGAGGCUGCAGCCGCCCUCGGAGGCAACACUGGGAAACGCUCAUUAGCAGCCUUCCAUUGCUCACCCGCCCCAUCCCACCUCUGUGCAUCCCAGAUCAUCAGCGAAGUGCACAGCUGGCUUCCAUCCUCGGAGCCUUCCUCCUUCAUUUGCCUAUUCAACAGUUACAAAGGCCUGAGUUGCAAAGGGGCUUACAACCCAUUCCACCCAGAAGAAAGAGAACUGAGACUGAGCAAGACAGAGAAUAGGUGGAAGGGGAGAUGAAACCAAGCAAUCUCUAGAUCCCAAAUGGGGACCCUGAUGUAGCAAGAGCCUCUUUUAAAUCCUUUUCCAAUAGGGUAAUAUGGAAAAUAGUUGAAAGCACAAGCCAAGUGGGGCUGGAAUCCCAAAUGGGCCAUUUACUAGCUGUGUGACUGGACAAGUAAUUUCAUAUUUCUGGGCCUCGAUUUUUCUCAUCUGUAAAAUAGAAAAAAAAAAACCUAUGUCAUAACGUUGAUAAACAGAUUAGAUGAGCUAAGAUCUAAAAUGUCUUCUAUUCAGUAGGUGCUCAAUAAAUGUUAUCUAUUUUUA
rnacentral:lncRNA from 10 species